rnacentral:rRNA from 1 species
UACGUAGGGUGCAAGCGUUGUCCGGAAUUAUUGGGCGUAAAGAGCUCGUAGGCGGUUUGUCGCGUCUGCUGUGAAAACCCGGGGCGUUAACCCUGGGCUUGCAGUGGAUACGGGCAGACUAGAGUUCGGUAGGGGGAGACUGGAAUUCCUGGUGUAGCGGUGAAAUGCGCAGAUAUCAGGAGGAACACCGGUGGCGAAGGCGGCGACCUGGUCCGAUACUGACGCUGAGGCGCGAAAGCGUGGGGAGCAAACAGG